rnacentral:rRNA from 1 species
CAGUCGCCGCGGUAAUACGAAGGGGGCUAGCGUUGCUCGGAAUGACUGGGCGUAAAGGGCGCGUAGGCGGUUUUGACAGUCAGAUGUGAAAUUCCUGGGCUUAACCUGGGGGCUGCAUUUGAGACGUCAAGACUAGAGUGUGAGAGAGGGUUGUGGAAUUCCCAGUGUAGAGGUGAAAUUCGUAGAUAUUGGGAAGAACACCGGUGGCGAAGGCGGCAACCUGGCUCAUUACUGACGCUGAGGCGCGAAAGCGUGGGGAGCAAACAGGAUUAGAUACCCGCGUAGUCCCUGUCUCUUAUAA